AACCAUAGAAACCUGCGGAGUACCUGCGGAAGGAUCAUUACCGAGUUUACAACUCCCAAACCCAUGUGAGCAUACCUAUCGUUGCUUCGGCGGAUCGCCCCGGGCGCCUUGCGUGCCCCGGAUCCAGGCGGCCGCCGGGGGACCUUAACUCUUGUUUUUACUGAGAAUCUUCUGAGUCGUUUUUACAAAUAAAUAAAAACUUUUAACAAUGGAUCU
rnacentral:misc_RNA from 1 species